UCUUUAGUAUAACUAUGUCCCAUGCAAUAUUUAUGCAAUAUUUGGGACAUACUUAUGCUAAAA
rfam:Equus caballus chromosome 12, whole genome shotgun sequence.